UCCUUAAAACAAAGACUGUCCUCCCAGAUAUUUUUGGAAACUAUUUCUACAGAUUGUACACCAGGGUUCCUGUCCAUCCCUAACCUAAGAGGCCCUGUGGACAUCUCAAAAUAUCCAGUAUCCUGAAUAGGAGUGAACAUCCUUAAAACAAAGACUGUCCUCCCAGAUAUUUUUGGAAACUAUUUCUACAGAUUGUACACCAGGGUUCCUGUCCAUCCCUAACCUAAGAGGCCCUGUGGACAUCUCAAAAUAUCCAGUAUCCUGAAUAGGAGUGAACAUCCUUAAAACAAAGACUGUCCUCCCAGAUAUUUUUGGAAACUAUUUCUACAGAUUGUACACCAGGGUUCCUGUCCAUCCCUAACCUAAGAGGCCCUGUGGACAUCUCAAAAUAUCCAGUAUCCUGAAUAGGAGUGAACAUCCUUAAAACAAAGACU